AUGUGCAAAACAUCCUUUGUUUGCUUGCUAAGGCUCAAACGGAAGGAAUUCAUCAUUCAGAUUAAGUUCUCCUCAUUCCAGAGCAGGCCCGUUAGACACCAAUGCACAGACAAGCCCUACACUCCCUUUUUUGCCCUCAGGAGCAUUUGUUUUGUUCUUGUUCACCUCAUGAACUGCAUUCACUUAGCUCAACUCAAAGUACAGGAUCCUAACCACUGUCCUCCCCCAGUACAGGGAUCCNNCCCCAGUACAGGGAUCCCAAACCCCUCUCCUCCCCCAGUACAGGGUUGCCAUCCCCAGUACAGGGACCCAAACCAUUGUCCUUCUCCAGUCCAGGGAUCCCAACCAUUGCCCUCCUUCAAACACCCCACACACCCAAGACUCCAAACUCGGAGUCUCGUGUCUCUGAGUUUCAUGCUCAUUAAUGAAGCAGGCAAUUAGGCAGUCGGUGUUUUUGCUUGCCCCUUGCAUCCUUGCCCCUGAGGGUGGGGAUGUGUGGGAAAGCACUGCAGGGAUGGGCAGAGCCUGACAGACACACACCUGCACACACUGCUUCUGUCUGCAAACUCAGGUGCUUCAAGUCUGCUCCACCACCAACCCAUUGCCUUGCCCUCAUUUGCCACCUCCAGAGAAGUGAGCAGUGACCUUAAGGGAUGAAAUGUAUCUGCUCUCCCGAAAAGACCCAGACACUUUUUAUUUUUAGAUGCUGUUUGUUUAUGCAUUUGCAUUCCAACUUCCUUCACACUAAAUCACAACACUUGCUAAAUAUGGGACAUCAUCUGGGAAUGUUUUUGUGAUAGUUUACAUGUCCAUAAAGCAAGUUCUGGUAAAACACGUUGCAAGCACACAAGAUCUAUAUGACUACACAGUGAUUUGGUUAUUCCAAGGAAAAGAAAACAAUCCUCUUAAGCCUCCUCUCUUUUGAAGACUAUACAUUUUAAAAGCAGAACACAAUUUCAAAUUCCAAAAGUUUGAAGCAUGAUGGCGAUUCCUGAGGAAAAGCAUGUGACCACAUAUGAAGACCCACCAGGUGAAUCUCUCAAAAAUCCAUGCUUGGCAUUCCAGUCUUUCCUGCCCAUUGGUUUGAAUGGUGUAUGAAUUAGAUUAACUGUCCUGAUUAUUCAAAGAAAUUUAGCUUAACGACCUGCAAUUACUUUAAUGGCUUUGAAAUUCAGAAGGUAAGAAGGCACUACGUUUCUUUAAAUGAACAUUAAAUAUAAAAUGUCUCUUGACUGACUGUCAUGAAAAUCCAAUUUUAUUGCGAUUUAAAUUAUUCAGAAUCAAUACCAGACAUUAGCUAUAGUUAGGAAGUUAUGAAGACAGAAGGAGCUAAAAGUGACCCUUUUUAAUACAGAAUAAUGACAUAGUGUUUUGAAAGUAACAGGUUAUUUGCUAUGUAUCACUGUUUCAGAACACAGUACCUAUUGCUUUUAACACUAAA
rnacentral:lncRNA from 1 species